CUCCAGACUCCUACGGGAGGCAGCAGUGGGGAAUAUUGCACAAUGGGGGAAACCCUGAUGCAGCGACGCCGCGUGAGCGAUGAAGUAUUUCGGUAUGUAAAGCUCUAUCAGCAGGGAAGAAAAUGACGGUACCUGACUAAGAAGCCCCGGCUAACUACGUGCCAGCAGCCGCGGUAAUACGUAGGGGGCAAGCGUUAUCCGGAUUUACUGGGUGUAAAGGGGGCGCAGACGGCAGCGCAAGCCAGGAGUGAAAGCCCGGGGCCCAACCCCGGGACUGCUCUUGGAACUGCGCGGCUGGAGUGCAGGAGGGGCAGGCGGAAUUCCUGGUGUAGCGGUGAAAUGCGUAGAUAUCAGGAGGAACACCGGCGGCGAAGGCGGCCUGCUGGACCGCGACUGACGUUGAGGCUCGAAAGCGUGGGGAGCAAACAGGAUUAGAUACCCGAGUA
rnacentral:rRNA from 1 species